GGUCGGGGGCAGCCACCUAGCCCGAACCACCGCGGCCCGGAGGGCCGUCAACAAAGUGGUGUAUGAUGACCACGAGAGCGAGGAGGAGGAGGAAGAGGAGGGGGGCGGCGAUGCCGAGGAGACCCAGGAGUCUGAGGACAGCUAGGAGGAUGAGAUGGAGGAGGACGAGGAUGACUCCGAUUAUCCGGAGGAGCUGGAAGAUGACGACGAGGACGCCAGUUACUCCACGGAAAGCGGCUUCAGCAGCACUGCAGAUUUGGUGUUCAUCUAACAACUCUGCCUAACCCAGACCUUGCCAGACUUUUUCUGUAAAAGGUCAGAUAGUAAAUAUUUCAGCCUUGCUGUCCCUGUUGCAGCUCUGCCGUUGUAGCAAUGAAAGCAGUCAUAGACAAUAUAAAGUGGUAAAAUAGCUGUGGAGUACAGACCCAGUGAAGAGAUUGUAGAUGUCAGAUGGGAAGAACUACACAGUUUAAUUCAAGUAUGU